rnacentral:rRNA from 1 species
GAUGAACGCUGGCGGCGUGCCUAAUACAUGCAAGUCGAGCGAACAGACGAGGAGCUUGCUCCUCUGACGUUAGCGGCGGACGGGUGAGUAACACGUGGAUAACCUACCUAUAAGACUGGGAUAACUUCGGGAAACCGGAGCUAAUACCGGAUAAUAUAUUGAACCGCAUGGUUCAAUAGUGAAAGACGGUUUUGCUGUCACUUAUAGAUGGAUCCGCGCCGCAUUAGCUAGUUGGUAAGGUAACGGCUUACCAAGGCAACGAUGCGUAGCCGACCUGAGAGGGUGAUCGGCCACACUGGAACUGGGACACGGUCCAGACUCCUACGGGAGGCAGCAGUAGGGAAUCUUCCGCAAAGGGCGAAAGCUUGACGGAGCAACGCCGCGUGAGUGAUGAAGGUCUUCGGAUCGUAAAACUCUGUUAUUAGGGAAGAACAAAUGUGUAAGUAACUAUGCACGUCUUGACGGUACCUAAUCAGAAAGCCACGGCUAACUACGUG